rnacentral:rRNA from 1 species
UGGGGAAUUUUUGGCAAUGGGGGCAACCCUGACCAAGCAACGCCGCGUGGGUGAUGAAGGCCUUCGGGUCGUAAAGCCCUGUCGGAGGGGAAGAAGGGUUGGCGUUCGAAUAGGGCGCUGAUUUGACGGUACCCUCAAAGGAAGCACCGGCUAACUCCGUGCCAGCAGCCGCGGUAAUACGGAGGGUGCAAGCGUUGCUCGGAAUCACUGGGCGUAAAGGGCGUGUAGGCGGUUUCGUAUGUCUGGCGUGAAAGCCCCGGGCUCAACCCGGGAAGUGCGUUGGAAACUGCGAAACUAGAGUCUCGGAGAGGAAGGUGGAAUUCCAGGUGUAGCGGUGAAAUGCGUAGAUAUCUGGAAGAACACCGGUGGCGAAGGCGGCCUUCUGGACGAUGACUGACGCUGAGACGCGAAAGCGUGGGGAGCAAACAGGAUUAGAUACCCUGGUAGUCCACGCCAUAAACGAUGGGAACUAGGUGUCGCGGGUAUUGACCCCUGCGGUGCCGCAGCUAACGCAUUAAGUUCCCCGCCUGGGGACUACGGCCGCAAGGUUAA